UUGUGCAGUAGGUAGUGGUGGAAAUAUCUGUGUUUAAUUUGUUUUUUCACUGUUUCAUUUUGCCUGAGGCUGAGAAAUAGAGCUAGAUGGUGCAAUAUUGAACCCUUAAUAAACCUAUUGUGCUUUGGUACUUUUUGCUCCCUAGAUCCAAUCUGUAGAAGCUGAGAGUUGGUUAACUGCACAGAUAUUAUUUUCAUUGAGACAUUAAACCUGUUAUGCAGCAUCCAAGCUGUUGGUACCCAAAGAGGAAAGGACAUUUGUGACUGAGCUUAACUGAACUUAUUGCUUGACAAGUUACCUACAUGGCCUCUUGUUGAGAAGCAGAGCGGUAAAAGACAGACUCAGUAACAUCUCCUGCCUUUCUAAGGAAGAGAAGUGAACAGAAAAUUAUGGAUAAAGGAGAGUCACAGCAUCACAGCUGUAUGUGAGUCAAGCUCUGAAGCUUUAAAAUUGGCCACUUGUGGAGGAAUAGAAUAAAAAAGGCGUUUCCAAUCUGCUGGACUGGGUGAUCACAUUUCAUCUCUCAGUCAUCACUGAGAUAUCCUUGAAUUGCAGUAGCUCCUGAGACACUGUACCAGGCUUCCUGGAUACUGUAAUUCUGUCAGAGGAGUCUUCCAAGCCCUAAGAAAUACCUUCAAAGAACAAGCUGAGUAACUUUCUUCUGACAUUACAUCUCUGAUGUACAAGAUGAUGAAGCAACAAGAAGGGUGGAGACAAGUAAAUCUUGAUAGACUGAGCACACUGAAAGGAUAAGUAAAAAAGACAGCUGCAGUUGUCAAGGCUGACAACACAGACAUGGAAUAUUUCUCCAGAGUUCACCCUUGAUGGUUCCUCCUGGAGCUUCCUACACUUGGUAGCAUCUUCUGUACUCCUAAAUUGACCCACAUGUCCAGAUCUAGACUCCUGGGGCUAAAUUAUGCCAUGGCUGUUCCUGUCUAACGAAUAAACGUCUCCAGCAGAACUGGUCUUGGAAUUCUUUUAUUCGUAGUCUGUUACAAGGCCUUUU